GCUUGUCUGGCCCUUCUAGUGCUUGCCUUUGUAGUGAAUUAAUUAAUACACAGACCUCUUGUUUAACACACUCAUCUUCUUUUCUUGCCUUAACCGAUCCAACUCAAGAAAUGUACGUUGUACUAAAUGCGAGUAAAGUUCCUUACGCUCAAAGUCAUAGAGAUAGAGGUUCUUCUUCAGCCCUAAGUCCUUCUUGUCUUUCUCCUUCUGUUCUUGUGUUGGCAACGAGAGAAUCAAAAGGAUCUGAAGCUGUAGGUCGAGUAGGGGCAAUUCGAUAUUCUGCUUCUGUGCUCUCGACUCGAAAGAUGAAAUGAAACAAGCAAUGCUUUAUAUACUAGUUAUCGCUAACGGAGAGGAGUUUAUAGCAAGGGAAGAUACUUGCAAGGUAUAGAAGAAAUAGAUACAAACCCGACCCCACUAACUUUGGAAAAACCCCUAUUACGUAAGCCGUGUAGCUUCUUUCCUCCCAUUGCUUGUGGGAUCUGGAUCAUCAGUGGAAGCAAGAGAAGAUGCUUGAUCAAGUAUCAUAAGCGGAAUCAGAAUAAAGAUCAUCAGCAGUGUUGUAUCAAGGAAAGCACUCUAACUCAACU
rnacentral:lncRNA from 1 species